rnacentral:rRNA from 1 species
AUUGAACGCUGGCGGCAGGCUUAACACAAGCAAGUCGAACGGUAACAGGUUAAGCUGACGAGUGGCGAACGGGUGAGUAAUGUAUCGGAACGUGCCCAGUCGUGGGGGAUAACUACUCGAAAGAGUGGCUAAUACCGCAUACGACCUGAGGGUGAAAGCGGGGGACCGUAAGGCCUCGCGCGAUUGGAGCGGCCGAUAUCAGAUUAGCUAGUUGGUGGGGUAAAAGCCCACCAAGGCGACGAUCUGUAGCUGGUCUGAGAGGACGACCAGCCACACUGGGACUGAGACACGGCCCAGACUCCUACGGGAGGCAGCAGUGGGGAAUUUUGGACAAUGGACGCAAGUCUGAUCCAGCCAUGCCGCGGGCGGGAAGAAGGCCUUCGGGUUGUAAACCGCUUUUGUCAGGGAAGAAACGAGUUUCUCUAAUACAGAGACUUAAUGACGGUACCUGAAGAAUAAGCACCGGCUAACUACGUGCCAGCCGCCGCCGUAAUAC